CCCGGGUCUUGUACACACCGCCCGUCACACCACGAGAGUUUGUAACACCCGAAGCCGGUGGGGUAACCGUAAGGAGCUAGCCGUCUAAGGUGGGAUAGAUGAUUGGGGUGAAGUCGUAACAAGGUAGCCGUAUCGGAAGGUGCGGCUGGAUCACCUCCUUU
rnacentral:rRNA from 1 species